AGUCCUGUAGCCCAGCGGCGAAGGCAGCACUCUUACAAAGUGACGAACGGUGGUUCGAGUCCACCCAGGACUACC
rnacentral:tRNA from 1 species